rnacentral:lncRNA from 1 species
UGAAAUUCUAUCCAAAUCCAAAAGGAAUCUAAUAGAAAUCUAAUAACGAUAUUCUGUUAUGCAGGAUCAGUGCAAGCAAGAUUGAGGCUGAUAUGCACAAGCGUUCUUCCAAUUCUACCCCCCUGCUACACGUAAUCAGCCAGGUAAGCAGGUUUCACUAUCCUUCUCUUGGUCUCUUCAUUCCUCUGCACCAUGGAUGUUGGUGUUUCCUGUGUGUAUGGCAUCCUUAGUUCAUGCGUAACAUCCUUGGCCCCUUGAAAAUCCACCUUGUCCUCAAGGUGGUAAUCGUGACACAGUUGAUGCCAGUUCUCCCACGAUGCCUCGUCAGGUGAUAAGCCUUCCCACUGAACGAGGACUUCCCAAGCUAUGGGGGAGGAUCCGAGAGUCCUUCUUUGAAUUGCAGGGGUAGGGUGGAGCUAUUAGUCGAAUCCAUAGUUCCCGUGAAGGGUUUGAGCACAGAACAAUGAAAUACGGAGUGGACUCUGGCCCCUUCUGGCAAUUGCAACCGAUAUGCCGCCGCACCAAUGCAUUCCACGAUCCUAAAGGUCCGUAAUAACGCUUAGCUAGUUUCUCCCCACGUGCGGAUGAACCCUUGGCAGUUAACUAUCAACGUGGCCGCAGUUUGGCCAAGACCCAAUCAUUGGGUUGGUAGACUACAUCCCUGCGCUUAGCAUCAGCAUACCUCUUCAUAGUUUCUUGAGCUUUGAGAAGCUUCUUUCGAAUGGAGUGAAAUUUUGUCUCCCUGUCCACUAAUAACUCAUCCACGACAUCAUUUUUAGAAGUGCCCGCAAGGUAUUCGGGAAAGGUGAAGGGCUUUCGACCAUACAUGAUCUCGUAAGGGGUUGAACCCGUGAUAGCAGACCAAGCUGAAUUGUGAGACCAUUCGACCCAAGAAAGGUAUUUCCCCCAAGCUCCUUGCCUCUCGUGUACAAAGGCUCUCAGGUAUUGUUUAAUAACACGAUUAAGAACCUCGGUCUGACCAUCACUCUGAGGAUGGUAGGCUGAGCUUAGUCGUAAUAACGUCCCACUUAGACGGAAAAGGUCUCUCCAAAAGUGGCUUAUGAACAACGGAUCCCGAUCAGAAACUAUACUCCGAGGGAAACCGUGAAGCUUAACCACGAUGUUCAUAAAGAGUGUAGCUACCAUGUGAGCGGUGUGCGCGGUGGGUAACAUCCCCAAAUGAAUGCCCUUCGAGAAUCUGUCUACGAUAACAAGAAUUACGGUGUUCCCUUUGUACACCGGAAGGCCGACAAUAAAAUCCAUGGACAAGUCGUCCCAUGGUCGAUAUGGUGUGGGUAGAGGGCAUACGAGCCCUGCAGUCUUCUUGGACUCAUAUUUCGUGAUUUGAAAAUCCUGACAAUGAGCUACAAAACACACCACAUCUUCUCGGAGCUUGGGCCAAUAAAAAUUUUCCAGAAGACGUGCUAUGGUUUUCGUAACGUCGGCGUGACCACCUGUGGGGGUAGAGUGGAAUUCCUGAAGAAGGGUCUGAAUGAGUGGCAAUUCCCGGGGAAGCCAUAUACGAGACUUAUAAAGAACAAGGUCCUGCAUGACAGAGUAAUCUGAAUAAUUAUGAGGGUGCAGGAGAAUAUUCUGGCGAAGGUUAUUGUAGUCAUCAUUAGCACUUAGCUGGGUUCGUAACUCCUUGAGGAAUGAUAAGCAAGGGACAGAGAGAAGCAUCGUCAGGGAAGCGUUGUGAUCUGGUAAGCGUGACAAGGAAUCCGCGGCUUGAUUACACGUGCCAGAACGAUACUCAAUAUCGUAAUCAUAUCCCAACAAUCAAGCCAUGUACAUGAGUUGUUCAGGAGUUUGUAUUACUUGACCAAACAAUUCCUUGAGACUGCGGUGGUCUGUGAUAAUCGUGAAGUGGUGUCCGAGUAAGUAUUGACGCCACUUCCUCACCGCCGUGGUAAUUGCACAGAGUUCCUGGACGUACGUCGAAGAACGCAAGAGUUUCUGCGUAAAUGGCUUACUAAAGAAAGCCAAGGGAUGGCCCUGUUGAGAGAGCACAGCGCCCAUACCGACGCCGGAGGCGUCCGUCUCCAGUGUAAAAGGUUUGGUGAAGUCUGGCAAGGCCAGGACCGGCGCCGUGGACAGAGCUUCCUUAAGACAGUCAAAAGCAAUCUGAGCUGAUGAGGACCACUGAAGAGGUUCACUCAUUGUGGCCUUUACUAGAGGUGCCACAAUUGUAGCGUAUCCCCGGAUAAAUCUACGAUAGAACCCUGCGUGGCCGAGGAAAUUGCGCAAAGCUUUGGUGGUUCUCGGUGUCGGCCAUUGCUGAAUCACAGAUAUCUUCGAAGCUAUAGGUUCAACUCCGCGCUGGGAGACUAUGUGUCCCAAGUAUUCGACCUGGGUCUGAGCAAAAGAGCAUUUAGAUAAUUUCAGCACAAAUUGAUUCUGAAGUAAUACCUGAAACGUAAUUUCGAGAUGUUGAAGAUGAUCCUGGAAGGAAGCGCUAUGCACAAAGAUAUCGUAAAAAAAAACAAUCAUGAAACGUCUCAGAAAUGGCCCAAACAGAGUGUUCAUUGUGGAUUGAAAUGAAGAGGGCGCAUUACACAACCCAAACGACAUCACUCUGAAUUCAUAGUGGCCGCGAUGGGUGCGGAAAGCCGUCUUAGGAAAGCCGUCUUAGGCUAAUUCCUUCUAACAGAUUGUAUGAAAUUCUAUCCAAAUCCAAAAGGAAUCUAAUAGAAAUCUAAUAACGAUAUUCUGUUAUGCAGGAUCAGUGCAAGCAAGAUUGAGGCUGAUAUGCAAAAGCGUUUUCCAAUUCUACCCCCCUGCUACACGUAAUCACAGGUUUCACUAUCCUUCUCUUGGUCUCUUCCUUCCUCUGCACCAUGGAUGCUGGUGUUUCCUAUGUGUAUGGCAU